UACAUUAGCAUGGGAUAAUGGAAUAGGACCCUGUCCUCCUAUUUUCAGUUGGUUUGCCGCGAGGACCAGGGUAAUGAUUAAUAGGGAUAGUUGGGGGCAUUAAUAUUUAAUUGUCAGAGGUGAAAUUCUUGGAUUUAUGAAAGAUUAACUUCUGCGAAAGCAUCUGCCAAGGAUGUUUUCAUUAAUCAAGAACGAAAGUUAGGGGAUCGAAGACGAUCAGAUACCGUCGUAGUCUUAACCAUAAACGAUGCCGACCAGCGAUUAGGAGACGUUGAAUACAAAACACCACCAUGCGCAUUGCGGUCGUCUUUGGUGUCGCUCACAAGGCGGCACCGGGGCGGCUUAGCUCGCAUGGCACCGGUGAAUGACUCCCUAGCG
rnacentral:rRNA from 1 species